rnacentral:rRNA from 1 species
GAUGAACGCUGGCGGCGUGCUUAACACAUGCAAGUCGAGCGAGAAGUUUUGAAAAGAUUCUUCGGAUGAAAUUUAAAAUGGAAAGCGGCGGCCGGGUGAGUAACGCGUAGGCAACCUGCCCCAUACAAAGGGAUAGCAUUUGGAAACGAAUAUUAAUACCUUAUGAAACUUAACUAGUGCAUGCUAGGUAGGUCAAAGAUUUAUCGGUAUAGGAUGGGCCUGCGUCUGAUUAGCUAGUUGGUGAGGUAACGGCGCACCAAGGCGACGAUCAGUAGCCGAACUGAGAGGGUGAACGGCCACAUUGGAACUGAGACACGGUCCAAACUCCUACGGGAGGCAGCAGUGGGGAAUAUUGCACAAUGGGGGAAGCCCUGAUGCAGCAACGCCGCGUGAACGAUGAAGGCCUUUGGGUCGUAAAGUUCUGUUCUAGGUGAUGAAAACUGACAGUAACCUAGGAGAAAGCCCCGGCUAACUCCGUG